UACGUAGGGUGCGAGCGUUGUUCGGAAUCAUUGGGCGUAAAGGGCGCGUAGGUGGCGGGACAAGCGUGCGGUGAAAGCCUGGGGCUCAACCCCGGGUCGGCCGUGCGAACUGUUUUGCUUGAGCACUGUAGAGGCAGGCGGAAUUCCGGGUGUAGCGGUGGAAUGCGUAGAGAUCCGGAAGAACACCGGUGGCGAAGGCGGCCUGCUGGGCAGUAGCUGACACUGAGGCGCGACAGCGUGGGGAGCAAACAGG
rnacentral:rRNA from 1 species